GUGCUUAACACAUGCAAGUCGAACGGAAAGGCCCUUUCGGGGGUACUCGAGUGGCGAACGGGUGAGUAACACGUGGGUGAUCUGCCCUGCACUUUGGGAUAAGCCUGGGAAACUGGGUCUAAUACCGAAUAUACCCUGCUGGUCGCAUGGCCUGGUGGGGGAAAGCUUUUGCGGUGUGGGAUGGGCCCGCGGCCUAUCAGCUUGUUGGUGGGGUGAUGGCCUACCAAGGCGACGACGGGUAGCCGGCCUGAGAGGGUGACCGGCCACACUGGGACUGAGAUACGGCCCAGACUCCUACGGGAGGCAGCAGUGGGGAAUAUUGCACAAUGGGCGCAAGCCUGAUGCAGCGACGCCGCGUGAGGGAUGACGGCCUUCGGGUUGUAAACCUCUUUCAGCACAGACGAAGCGCAAGUGACGGUAUGUGCAGAAGAAGGACCGGCCAACUACGUGCCAGCAGCCGCGGUAAUACGUAGGGUCCGAGCGUUGUCCGGAAUUACUGGGCGUAAAGAGCUCGUAGGUGGUUUGUCGCGUUGUUCGUGAAAUC
rnacentral:rRNA from 2 species